rnacentral:rRNA from 1 species
GUUAACGAGGCGAACCGGGGGAACUGAAACAUCUAAGUACCCCGAGGAAAAGAAAUCAACCGAGAUUCCCCCAGUAGCGGCGAGCGAACGGGGAGCAGCCCAGAGUCUGAAUCAGCUUGUGUGUUAGUGGAACGGUCUGGAAAGUCCGACGGUACAGGGUGAUAGUCCCGUACACCAAAAUGCACAGGCUGUGAACUCGAAGAGUAGGGCGGGACACGUGGUAUCCUGUCUGAAUAUGGGGGGACCAUCCUCCAAGGCUAAAUACUCCUGACUGACCGAUAGUGAACCAGUACCGUGAGGGAAAGGCGAAAAGAACCCCGGCGAGGGGAGUGAAAAAGAACCUGAAACCGUGUACGUACAAGCAGUGGGAGCACCUUCGGGUGUGACUGCGUACCUUUUGUAUAAUGGGUCAGCGACUUAUAUUCUGUAGCAAGGUUAACCGUAUAGGGGAGCCGCAGGGAAACCGAGUCUUAACUGGGCGUUAAGUUGCAGGGUAUAGACCCGAAACCCGGUGAUCUAGCCAUGGGCAGGUUGAAGGUUGGGUAACACUAACUGGAGGACCGAACCGACUAAUGUUGAAAAAUUAGCGGAUGACUUGUGGCUGGGGGUGAAAGGCCAAUCAAACCGGGAGAUAGCUGGUUCUCCCCGAAAGCUAUUUAGGUAGCGCCUCGUGAACUCAUCUUCGGGGGUAGAGCACUGUUUCGGCUAGGGGGUCAUCCCGACUUACCAACCCGAUGCAAACUACGAAUACCGAAGAAUGUUAUCACGGGAGACACACGGCGGGUGCUAACGUCCGUCGUGAAGAGGGAAACAACCCAGACCGCCAGCUAAGGUCCCAAAGUCAUGGUUAAGUGGGAAACGAUGUGGGAAGGCACAGACAGCCAGGAUGUUGGCUUAGAAGCAGCCAUCAUUUAAAGAAAGCGUAAUAGCUCACUGGUCGAGUCGGCCUGCGCGGAAGAUGUAACGGGGCUAAACCAUGCACCGAAGCUGCGGCAGCGACACUAUGUGUUGUUGGGUAGGGGAGCGUUCUGUAAGCCUGCGAAGGUGACCUGUGAGGGUUGCUGGAGGUAUCAGAAGUGCGAAUGCUGACAUAAGUAACGAUAAAGCGGGUGAAAAGCCCGCUCGCCGGAAGACCAAGGGUUCCUGUCCAACGUUAAUCGGGGCAGGGUGAGUCGACCCCUAAGGCGAGGCCGAAAGGCGUAGUCGAUGGGAAACAGGUUAAUAUUCCUGUACUUGGUGUUACUGCGAAGGGGGGACGGAGAAGGCUAUGUUAGCCGGGCGACGGUUGUCCCGGUUUAAGCAUGUAGGCUGGUUAUCCAGGCAAAUCCGGAUAAUCAAGGCUGAGGUGUGAUGACGAAGCACUACGGUGCUGAAGUAACAAAUGCCCUGCUUCCAGGAAAAGCCUCUAAGCAUCAGGUAACAUCAAAUCGUACCCCAAACCGACACAGGUGGUCAGGUAGAGAAUACCAAGGCGCUUGAGAGAACUCGGGUGAAGGAACUAGGCAAAAUGGUGCCGUAACUUCGGGAGAAGGCACGCUGGUGUGUAGGUGAAGCCCCUGCGGGUGGAGCUGAGACCAGUCGAAGAUACCAGCUGGCUGCAACUGUUUAUUAAAAACACAGCACUGUGCAAACACGAAAGUGGACGUAUACGGUGUGACGCCUGCCCGGUGCCGGAAGGUUAAUUGAUGGGGUUAUCCGUAAGGAGAAGCUCUUGAUCGAAGCCCCGGUAAACGGCGGCCGUAACUAUAACGGUCCUAAGGUAGCGAAAUUCCUUGUCGGGUAAGUUCCGACCUGCACGAAUGGCGUAAUGAUGGCCAGGCUGUCUCCACCCGAGACUCAGUGAAAUUGAACUCGCUGUGAAGAUGCAGUGUACCCGCGGCAAGACGGAAAGACCCCGUGAACCUUUACUAUAGCUUGACACUGAACAUUGAGCCUUGAUGUGUAGGAUAGGUGGGAGGCUUUGAAGCGUGGACGCCAGUCUGCGUGGAGCCAACCUUGAAAUACCACCCUUUAAUGUUUGAUGUUCUAACGUUGGCCCCUUAUCGGGGUUGCGGACAGUGUCUGGUGGGUAGUUUGACUGGGGCGGUCUCCUCCCAAAGCGUAACGGAGGAGCACGAAGGUUAGCUAAUCCUGGUCGGACAUCAGGAGGUUAGUGCAAUGGCAUAAGCUAGCUUGACUGCGAGCGUGACGGCGCGAGCAGGUGCGAAAGCAGGUCAUAGUGAUCCGGUGGUUCUGAAUGGAAGGGCCAUCGCUCAACGGAUAAAAGGUACUCCGGGGAUAACAGGCUGAUACCGCCCAAGAGUUCAUAUCGACGGCGGUGUUUGGCACCUCGAUGUCGGCUCAUCACAUCCUGGGGCUGAAGUAGGUCCCAAGGGUAUGGCUGUUCGCCAUUUAAAGUGGUACGCGAGCUGGGUUUAGAACGUCGUGAGACAGUUCGGUCCCUAUCUGCCGUGGGCGCUGGAGAAUUGAGGGGGGCUGCUCCUAGUACGAGAGGACCGGAGUGGACGCAUCACUGGUGUUCGGGUUGUCAUGCCAAUGGCACUGCCCGGUAGCUAAAUGCGGAAGAGAUAAGUGCUGAAAGCAUCUAAGCACGAAACUUGCCCCGAGAUGAGUUCU